GACGCUGGCGGCACGCUUAACACAUGCAAGUCGAACGAGAUCUUCGGAUCUAGUGGCAGACGGGUGAGUAACGCGUGGGAACCUGCCCAGUAGUAGAGAAUAACUUGGGGAAACUUAAGCUAAUACUUUAUACGUCCUUCGGGAGAAAGCUUUAUGCGCUAUUGGAUGGGCCCGCGUUAGAUUAGUUUGUUGGUGAGGUAACGGCUCACCAAGGCGACGAUCUAUAGCUGGUCUGAGAGGAUGAUCAGCCACACUGGGACUGAGACACGGCCCAGACUCCUACGGGAGGCAGCAGUGGGGAAUAUUGGACAAUGGGGGCAACCCUGAUCCAGCGAUGCCGCGUGAGUGAUGAAGGCCCUAGGGUUGUAAAACUCUUUCGUCAGGGAAGAUAAUGACGGUACCUGAAGAAGAAGAUCCGGCUAACUCCGUGCCAGCAGCCGCGGUAAUACGGAGGGGUCUAGCGUUAUUCGGAAUUACUGGGCGUAAAGCGAGCGUAGGCGGAUUUGUAAGUUGGAGGUGAAAUCCCAGAGCUUAACUCUGGAACUGCCUUCAAAACUACAUUUCUUGAGUUUGGUAGAGGAGAGUGGAAUUCCUAGUGUAGAGGUGAAAUUCGUAGAUAUUAGGAGGAACACCAGUGGCGAAGGCGACUCUCUGGGCCAAUACUGACGCUGAGGUUCGAAAGCAUGGGUAGCGAACAGGAUUAGAUACCCUGGUAGUCCAUGCAGUAAACGAUGAGUGCUAGAUGUUGGGAAUUUAAAUUUCCAGUAUCGCAGUUAACGCGUUAAGCACUCCGCCU
rnacentral:rRNA from 1 species